rnacentral:rRNA from 1 species
UAAGGAAUAUUGGUCAAUGGACGCAAGUCUGAACCAGCCGUGCCGCGUGAAGGAUGAAGGUCCUCUGGAUUGUAAACUUCUUUUAUCUGGGACGAAAACGGGAUUUUUAUCUCAAUUGACGGUACCAGAGGAAUAAGCACCGGCUAACUCCGUGCCAGCAGCCGCGGUAAUACGGAGGGUGCGAGCGUUAUCCGGAUUUACUGGGUUUAAAGGGUGCGUAGGUGGGCUUAUAAGUCAGUGGUGAAAUCUCCGAGCUUAACUUGGAAACUGCCGUUGAUACUAUAGGUCUUGAAUUAUCUGGAGGUAAGCGGAAUAUGUCAUGUAGCGGUGAAAUGCUUAGAUAUGACAUAGAACACCAAUUGCGAAGGCAGCUUACUACAUAUAAAUUGACGCUGAGGCACGAAAGCGUGGGGAUCAAACA